AAACUACUCCCUCCGUCCCAAAAUUCUUGUCUUAGAUUUGUCUAGAUACGGAUGUAUCAAGUCACAUUUUAGUAUUAGAUACAUCUGUAUCUAGACAAAUCUAAGACAAGAAAUUUGGGACAGAGGGAGUAGUUG
rnacentral:pre_miRNA from 1 species